UAGGGAAUCUUCCGCAAUGGACGCAAGUCUGACGGAGCAACGCCGCGUGAGUGAAGAAGGAUUUCGGUUCGUAAAACUCUGUUGUUAGAGAAGAACAGCGCAUAGAGUAACUGUUAUGCGUGUGACGGUAUCUAACCAGAAAGCCACGGCUAACUACGUGCCAGCAGCCGCGGUAAUACGUAGGUCCCGAGCGUUGUCCGGAUUUAUUGGGCGUAAAGCGAGCGCAGGCGGUUAGAAAAGUCUGAAGUGAAAGGCAGUGGCUCAACCAUUGUAGGCUUUGGAAACUGUUUAACUUGAGUGCAGAAGGGGAGAGUGGAAUUCCAUGUGUAGCGGUGAAAUGCGUAGAUAUAUGGAGGAACACCGGUGGCGAAAGCGGCUCUCUGGUCUGUAACUGACGCUGAGGCUCGAAAGCGUGGGUAGCAAACAGG
rnacentral:rRNA from 1 species